rnacentral:rRNA from 1 species
GACGAACGCUGGCGGCGUGCCUAAUACAUGCAAGUCGAACGCAGUGGGGACAGUUGAGUAACACGUGGGUAACCUCCCAUCAGAGGGCAUAACACUUGGCAACAGUUGCUAAACCAAUACUGAUGGAUGGACCCGCGGUGGAUUAGCUAGUUCGGGGGGUAACGGCUCACCAGGGCAACGAGUCAUAGCCGAUCUGAGAGGGCGACCGGCCACACUGGGACUGAGACACGGCCCAGACUCCUACGUGAGGCAGCAGUAGGGAAUCUUCGGCAAUGGGUGAAAGUCUGACCGAGCAAUGCCGCGUGAGUGAAGAAGGUUUUCGGGUCGUAAAGUUCUGUUGUUAGAGAAGCGGUAUCUGAAGAGAAAGCCACGGCUAACUACGUGCCAGCAGCCGCGGUAAUAC